rnacentral:rRNA from 1 species
CCUACGGGAGGCAGCAGUAGGGAAUUUUCCGCAAUGGGGGGAACCCUGACCGAGCAACGCCGCGUGAACGAAGAAGUUCUUCGUAAUGUAAAGUUCUUUUAGCAGGGAAGAAAGAGAAAUUUGACGGUACCUGAAGAAUAAGCUCCGGCAAACUACGUGCCAGCCGCUGCGGUAAUACGUAGGGGGCCGGCGUUAUCCGGAAUUAUUGGGCUAAAGGGGUGCGUUGAGGGCAUAGUACUUCUUUUGUAAAAAUGCGGGGCGAAACCGAGUAGGGCAAAAGAUACUGCAAAGCUAGAGUAUGACAGAGGGAAGUAGAAUUACAAGUGUAGCGGUAAAAUGCGUAGAUAUAUGGAAGAACACCAGUGGCGAAGGCGGCUUGCUGGAUCGAUACUGACAUUGAGGCACGAAAGCGUGGGGAGCAAACAGGAUUAGAUACCCCUGUAGUC